UACGGGGGGGGGCAAGCGUUGUUCGGAAUUACUGGGCGUAAAGCGCGUGUAGGCGGCUCUUCAAGUCGAGUGUGAAAGCUCCAGGCUUAACCUGGGAAUUGCGCUCGAUACUGUUGAGCUAGAGUGUGGAAGGGGCUACUGGAAUUCCGUGUGUAGCGGUGAAAUGCGUAGAUAUCUGGAGGAACACCGGUGGCGAAGGCGGCAUCCUGGACCGGUAUUGGACGCUGACGGCGCGAAAGCCAGGGGAGCAAAGCGGGAGUUAA
rnacentral:rRNA from 1 species